CAGAGGUCCCGAGCGUUGUUCGGAUUCACUGGGCGUAAAGGGUGCGUAGGUGGUGAGGUAAGUCGGAUGUGAAAUCUCCGGGCUCAACCCGGAAACUGCAUUGGAAACUACCUUGCUUGAGGUUUUGAGGGGGGACUGGAAUUCUCGGUGUAGCAGUGAAAUGCGUAGAUAUCGAGAGGAACACCAGUGGCGAAGGCGAGUCCCUGGAAAACACCUGACACUGAGGCACGAAAGCUAGGGGAGCAAACAGGAUUAGAUACCCUGGUAGUCCUAGCCCUAAACGGUGCUUGCUUGCUGUAAGUGGAAUCGACCCCACUUGUGGCGGAGCUAACGCGUUAAGCAAGCCGCCUGGGAAGUACGGUCGCAAGAUU
rnacentral:rRNA from 1 species